GACGAACGCUGGCGGCGUGCCUAAUACAUGCAAGUAGAACGCUGAAGAGAGGAGCUUGCUCUUCUUGGAUGAGUUGCGAACGGGUGAGUAACGCGUAGGUAACCUGCCUUGUAGCGGGGGAUAACUAUUGGAAACGAUAGCUAAUACCGCAUAACAACGGAUGACACAUGUCAUUUAUUUGAAAGGGGCAAUUGCUCCACUACAAGAUGGACCUGCGUUGUAUUAGCUAGUAGGUGAGGUAAUGGCUCACCUAGGCGACGAUACAUAGCCGACCUGAGAGGGUGAUCGGCCACACUGGGACUGAGACACGGCCCAGACUCCUACGGGAGGCAGCAGUAGGGAAUCUUCGGCAAUGGGGGCAACCCUGACCGAGCAACGCCGCGUGAGUGAAGAAGGUUUUCGGAUCGUAAAGCUCUGUUGUAAGUCAAGAACGGGUGUGAGAGUGGAAAGUUCACACUGUGACGGUAGCUUACCAGAAAGGGACGGCUAACUACGUG
rnacentral:rRNA from 1 species